rnacentral:rRNA from 1 species
UAGAGUUUGAUCCUGGCUCAGGAUGCAUGCUAGCGACAGGCUUAACACAUGCAAGUCGAGGGGCAGCGGGGAUGAAGGCUUGCCUUCAUCUGCCGGCGACCGGCGCACGGGUGAGUAACACGUAUGCAACCUGUCCGGUACAGGGGGAUAAGCGGCGGAAACGCCGUCUAAUACCGCGUGACAACCCGAGGGGGCAUCCCCUUGGGUUCAAAGGAGAGAUCCGGUACCGGGUGGGCAUGCGGCGCAUUAGCUAGUUGGCGGGGCAACGGCCCACCAAGGCGACGAUGCGUAGGGGUUCUGAGAGGAAGGUCCCCCACACUGGAACUGAGACACGGUCCAGACUCCUACGGGAGGCAGCAGUGAGGAAUAUUGGUCAAUGGGCGGAAGCCUGAACCAGCCAAGUCGCGUGAGGGAAGACGGCCCCAUGGGUUGUAAACUGCUUUUAUACGGGAAUAAAUGACGACACGUGUGUUGUUUUGUAGGUACCGUAUGAAUAAGGACCGGCUAAUUCCGUGCCAGCAGCCGCGGUAAUACGGAAGGUCCGGGCGUUAUCCGGAUUUAUUGGGUUUAAAGGGAGCGUAGGCCGGCGCUUAAGCGUGCCGUGAAAUGUCCCGGCUCAACCGGGGCACUGCGGCGCGAACUGGGUGCCUUGAGUGCGCGGAACGUAUGCGGAAUUCGUGGUGUAGCGGUGAAAUGCUUAGAUAUCACGAAGAACUCCGAUUGCGAAGGCAGCAUACGGCAGCGUAACUGACGCUGAAGCUCGAAGGUGCGGGUAUCGAACAGGAUUAGAUACCCUGGUAGUCCGCACGGUAAACGAUGGAUGCCCACAGUUGGGAAUAUACAGUCAGCGGCCAAGCGAAAGCGUUAAGCAUCCCACCUGGGGAGUACGCGGGCAACGGUGAAACUCAAAGGAAUUGACGGGGGCCCGCACAAGCGGAGGAACAUGUGGUUUAAUUCGAUGAUACGCGAGGAACCUUACCCGGGCUUGAACUGCAGGUGAACGAUUCAGAGAUGAUGAGGUCCUUCGGGACACCUGUGGAGGUGCUGCAUGGUUGUCGUCAGCUCGUGCCGUGAGGUGUCGGCUUAAGUGCCAUAACGAGCGCAACCCUUAUUCUUAGUAGCCAGCAGGUAAGGCUGGGCACUCUAAGGAGACUGCCAGGGAUAACCUGGAGGAAGGUGGGGAUGACGUCAAAUCAUCAUGCCCCUUAUGAUUUGGGCUACACACGUGCUACAAUGGCGUAAACAAAGGGAGGCGAAGCCGCGAGGCCGAGCGAACCUCAAAAAUAACGUCUCAGUUCGGAUUGCAGGCUGCAACCCGCCUGCAUGAAGCCGGAAUCGCUAGUAAUCGCGGAUCAGAAUGCCGCGGUGAAUACGUUCCCGGGUCUUGCCCACAAGGCCCGUCAAG